rnacentral:tRNA from 1 species
AGCAGCAUUCAGAGCGGUUGAGGACCUAGCCUUUGAAGCUAGAGGGGCCCGGGUUUGAAUCCUGGUCCUGCUC